UGCAUUCAGCCUGCUGUCCAAGAAGAGC
rnacentral:piRNA from 1 species